rnacentral:rRNA from 1 species
AAUGAACGCUGGCGGCAGGCCUAAUACAUGCAAGUCGAGCGAAUCUUUUGGGAGCUUGCUCCCUUAAGAUUAGCGGCGGACGGGUGAGUAACACGUGGGUAACCUGCCUGUAAGACUGGGAUAACUUCGGGAAACCGGAGCUAAUACCGGAUACUUUCUUUUCUCGCAUGAGGGAAGAUGGAAAGAUGGUUCUGCUAUCACUUACAGAUGGACCCGCGGCGCAUUAGCUAGUUGGUGAGGUAACGGCUCACCAAGGCGACGAUGCGUAGCCGACCUGAGAGGGUGAUCGGCCACACUGGGACUGAGACACGGCCCAGACUCCUGCGGGAGGCAGCAGUAGGGAAUCUUCCGCAAUGGACGAAAGUCUGACGGAGCAACGCCGCGUGAGCGAAGAAGGCCUUCGGGUCGUAAAGCUCUGUUGUUAGGGAAGAACAAGUACGAGAGUAACUGCUCGUACCUUGACGGUACCUAACCAGAAAGCCACGGCUAACUACGUGCCAGCCGCCGCGGUAACAC